rnacentral:misc_RNA from 1 species
CGAAUAGUUUUUGAAAUAUCAUCAGUGAAUCAAGGAUGUGAUAUAGUCAAAAGCCGGUCUGAACAUUGUUUAACACAAAGUCGGAAAAGUUUGCAAAUCUAAAGUCAUAAAAAAUUCAGGCACCCCGCAACAGGAACAUGCACGGAAUGUAGAAAUGCGAGUCCGGCGCUGCUUAAACAACAAGAAGGAAAGAAAGAAAAAAAAGAAGGAGGACAUGGGAUAUACAAUGGUGACUCUGAGUUUGGAACAUUCUUUUCCAAGAGAACGGAUCAGUUGCGAAUUACACGGUUCCUCUGACACUUUUUAUCCUCGCGAUGAGUAGGAUACGAUGCAAUGAAAAAAAAAUGUUGCCUGGAACUUCAAGGUCCAAAUCAAUUUUGCGGCUACAUUUUUUUUUGCAGAUCUUCACCGAUCCAAAGGUGUAGCAUAACGUUACGGUGCUCGUGACAAAUCAUCCUUGAACACCUUGUACUCUUCACGAAUCGCAGAUAAGAAAUAUUAUACAAAUAAAACUAACGAAGAAAAACGGAACUAUCGAACCUCGAAAUUCAGUGUUGUACUCAGGCGAAAGUAAAUUUAAUAUAUUAUAAUCCAAUAAUUCAUAACGAUUAUGUGUUUCUUAGUAGGAAAAAAAUAUAAUAUUGCUAUAAAUUUGAAAUAUUUGCAAUUUCUUAUAAAGCGCGACGAUUGUGUGUGUGUUUAUUGCAUAUAGAAAUAUAUGAAACAUAUCUAUCUAUCUAUCGAACGAAAAAUCUUACAAAAAGAUUGCAAGGACUAUUUAUACAAGUUAUACAAUAACAGGGAAGAUUAUAAGAAGGAUAGGAAAGACGAAUAGAAAACGAAGCAGAUUAAGAUAAAAAGAAACUAUAAAAUUUAUCAUAAAGAAACGUUACGUCAUUAGAGGAAGUAGUGAAAUUUAAGAUAAGGGUUCCUGGAGUAAAUAUAUUCUUUUUGAAAUGAAACGCGUUUCCAAUGAAACAAUUGCAAAAGUAUUAUAAAGUAGCUCGUAUAAUAAUCCGUGUGAAAGAAGGCGAAGAAAAAAUGGGAAAAUAUUUAAAAUGCAACGGAAGAUAACGUAAAUAUUCUACAUUUACUAAUAAAUCAAAAUGAUUUAGCAAAUUUUAAAACGUAAUGAACAAGUUUUAAUAAAUAAUAGGUAACAGUCUAAUAUAGGGUGUAUAUUGAAAUUGAAUGAAAGCAUGUGUGAGAAAUCUACAUAGAUCAAUAUCAUCUUGUAGUCGACAGGCAAAAAUUAAUAAAAUAUAUGUAUAAUACAUAAUGAGUAAUAUUAAUUGCGUAAUUUCUGUAUUCAUAGAAUAUG